AAAAAAAAAAAAAAAGAAGUAGCUCUUAUCCUGGAGCAGGCCAAAAUCAUAACCACAUGGGGUGGCUAAAACUCCAAGGGGAAAUCCAAUCUUUCUGGCCUGAAGAACUAAAAGACAAGAGUUCAAGGAAAUCACAGCCAUUGGAAAGUGAGGAAGCAAUCCCACAAAGUAAGGGGCCUGUGAAAAAGUGCUCAAAGGCUGUGUAUAAACUCUGCCCAAAUCUGACUAACUCCCAAACCACACAGGAAUGCGACAAAGUCAGCUACGAAUGCAAAACCAGAACUGAGAUCUGAACUGCUACCUGGGUUUGAGUUCAAACAAUUUACCUGCCUGUUAAAAACAGCAACACUUGGCCAGGCGCAGUGGCUCAUGCCUGUAAUCCCAGCACUUUGGGAGGCCGAGGUGGGCGGAUCACCUGAGGUCAGGAGUUUGAGACCAGCCAGGCUAACAUGGUGAAACCCCGUUUCUACUAAAAAUACAAAAAAUUGGCCAGGUGCAGUGGUGCAUGCCUGUAAUCCCUGCUACUCGGGAGGCUGAGGCAGGAGAAUCGCUUGAACCCGAGAGGCAGAGGUUGCAGUGAGCCGAGAUUGUGCCACUGCACUCCAGCCUGGGCAACAAGAGUGAAACUCCGUCUCAAAAAAAAAAAAAUCAUCACUUUACAGAUAAACCAUAACAGAAUCCUAAGUCUCUCUACAAUGUAAUAUUUACAAUGUCAAGGAUAAAAUCUAAAAUUACUAGACAUACGAAGAAUCAGGAAAAUGUGAUCCAUUCUUAAAAGACAACAGAGGUCAACUUCAAGAUAACAAGGAUUUCAAAGUAGCUGCUACAACUAUGUUCAAGGAGAUGAAAAGAAAAAAAGAUUGAAAAAGAAUGAAUAUCCCCAGAGAUCUAUGAACAAUAUAAAAAAACUAUCAUAAACGGAAGUAGAGUCCCAGCAGGAAAAGAAAAAAACAAGACAGAAAAAAAGUUAAUGAAACAAUAGCUAAAAUUUCGCUCAUCUUGGGGAGUGACAUAAGCGUAGAGAAAAACCACUCCACUCCUAGGCAAAAUAUCAACAUGCUGACAACCAGGAUAAAGAGGAACAUUUGAGGCCGGGCACGGUGGCUCAUGCCUGUAAUCCCAGCACUUUGGGAGGCCGAGGCAGGAGGAUCACUUGAGCCUAGGAGUUCAAGACCAGCCUGGGCUACAUGGCGAAACCUUGUCUCUACCAAAAAAAAUUAGCCAAUUAGCUGGGCAUGGUGG
rnacentral:lncRNA from 10 species